rnacentral:snRNA from 1 species
GUACUUACAGUGUUGCUGGGAAUUGAAACUGGGACCUUAGAAUCUCCAGCAUGAAAGUUGAAGCUUUCCCUGCGAUUUCCCCAAAUGUGGAAGACUCACUCCACUGUAUAAUUUAUGGUAGUAGGGGACUGCAUUCGUGCUCUCUCCUG